CAUGUUAGAUGUUCUUACUACAAUAAAAAAAGAAAAAGAUACUGAUGCACAAGAAUAACUAAAUUUUCUUCCCUCCCUUACCAAAAAGAUUCCCCACAGGAGAAGGCAGAAAACUAAUCCAUUAUUAAAGUGAAGAGAGGAGAGAGGAGCCAAGAUGGCCGAAUAGGAACAGCUCCGGUCUACAGCUCCCAGCGUGCAAGACGCAGAAGACAGGCGAUUUCUCCAUUUCCAUCUGAGAUUGUGCAAUAUAACAGAGGAACCAAGAAGAAACCUCUCACUUGACCUUCUCUGGGUAACUUCAUUCAUUGCUUCUAUUGCAUUAAAUGCUGUCACAUUUGUGGAACUGAAAAGAACAAUGUCAGUAGCCUGGGUGUCAAGUCCUGAGAAUAGAGAGCUGUCAUUUUAA